UACGAGUGCCCCGAGCGUUAUCCGGAAUCAUUGGGCGUAAAGGGUGUGUAGGUGGCGAUGUUAGUCUUCUGUCAAAGCCCCGGGCUUAACCCGGGACCUGCAGGGGAAACGGCAUCGCUCGAGGAUGCGAGGGGUGAAUGGAACUCAUGGAGUAGGGGUGAAAUCCGUUGAUAUCAUGGGGAACACCAAAAGCGAAGGCAAUUCACUGGCGCAUUCCUGACACUGAAACACGAAAGCGUGGGUAGCGAACGGG
rnacentral:rRNA from 1 species